rnacentral:rRNA from 1 species
ACUACGGGUGGCUGCAGUGGGGGAUAUUGCACAAUGGGGGGAACCCUGAUGCAGCGACGCCGCGUGGGUGAAGAAGCGCCUCGGCGCGUAAAGCCCUGUCAGCAGGGAAGAAAAUGACGGUACCUGAAGAAGAAGCCCCGGCUAACUACGUGCCAGCAGCCGCGGUAAUACGUAGGGGGCAAGCGUUAUCGGGAUUUACUGGGUGUAAAGGGGGCGCAGACGGCGAUGCAAGCCAGGAGUGAAAGCCCGGGGCCCAACCCCGGGACUGCUCUUGGAACUGCGUGGCUGGAGUGCAGGAGGGGCAGGCGGAAUUCCUGGUGUAGCGGUGAAAUGCGUAGAUAUCAGGAGGAACACCGGUGGCGAAGGCGGCCUGCUGGACUGCAACUGACGUUGAGGCCCGAAAGCGUGGGGAGCAAACAGGAUUAGAUACCCCGGUAGUC